rnacentral:lncRNA from 1 species
AGUUUCAACCCAAUAAUAAUUGCCUUCUACUCUACCAAUGGUCACAAAUCAGAUACAAGAGUACCUGCCCUGGAUGGGUAGUCAAAGAACCCUAUAUUGAAACCCCGCUCAUUUUAUAGAUGAGGGAACUAAGUACAGAGACAUUAAGUGACUUGUCCAUAGGUCACACAGCUUUAAAUUCCUGGAGAAAGAUUCAAAUCUAGGUCUUCCUGACUCCCACGCUCAAUAUUCUAUCCACUAGAAACAGCCAGGUGGUACAGUGGAUUAGAGAGAUUGACCUGGAGUUAGGGAGACCCAAUUUGAAAUUCAGCCUCAUAUACUUAACUAGCUGUGUGAUUCCUGGGCAAGUCACUUAACUCUAAUCUGCCUCAGUUUCUUCAUCUGCAAAAUGAAGACAAUAAUAGUACCUAUCUCCCAGUAUUGUUGUAAGGAUGAAUAAGAUAUUUUUAAAGCACUUUGCACAGUGGCCAGCCAGUUUGACCUUCUUCAUUGGUACAAUUUCUUUCUGUGUCAGGCUCCCAAAUACAUUGACUGUUACAGCUAGACUUCUCCUUUCAUCAUUCCAAGGUAAAUGGUCAAUAGUGUGUGACCAUACAGGCCUGGCAGAUAUCCUGAGAGAUGACCAUCUCCAGCCUUGACAGCUCCCUCAGAAGUUCAAGAGUUCCUGGUCUCCUGAGUCAAUACCAACUGUCCAAUGGGAGGUGCUUCCUGAAACUAUACUACUCUUUGGAGGAGAUACACAUCUGCCAAGAGAAACUAUAGAAGGAUCCUGUAGCCAAAAGAACUAAGAAAAUCUAGGCCAUAUCCUGGGUGGCUAAAAGAUCCAUACUUCAGAGUAUGUAGACAUUGCAAGUCAAAAGUAAGAGUGAACUAUUUGAACAGAAGUCCUACAAAAUGCUACAAAUUCUACCUUUUGGUAGAAUGUGAUAGGUGUGGUGGGCUAUAACGUCUGUUUUUUAAGUAUUUUAAUAGACACAUUGUAUUGUGCUUUAAGUAUAUCCUCUGAAGAGGAGAAAAAAUAACUGUCCUAUAUCUCUGAACAUGAAAAGCGUGGUGCAGAGAAAGAAUGCUAGACAUCAGAGGACUUAGGUUCCAAUAAUGACUCUGAUUCUUAUUAUAUGGACUUAGAACAAGCCAUAUUUUCCCUGUCUGAGCCUCAGUUUCCGCAUUUAUAAAAUGGGAAUAAAAAUACUUUGACUAUCA